GGGUUGUGAGGUUAAGCGACUAAGCGUACACGGUGGAUGCCCUGGCAGUCAGAGGCGAUGAAGGACGUGCUAAUCUGCGAUAAGCGUCGGUAAGGUGAUAUGAACCGUUAUAACCGGCGAUUUCCGAAUGGGGAAACCCAGUGUGAUUCGUCACACUAUCAUUAACUGAAUCCAUAGGUUAAUGAGGCGAACCGGGGGAACUGAAACAUCUAAGUACCCCGAGGAAAAGAAAUCAACCGAGAUUCCCCCAGUAGCGGCGAGCGAACGGGGAGGAGCCCAGAGCCUGAAUCAGUGUGUGUGUUAGUGGAAGCGUCUGGAAAGGCGCGCGAUACAGGGUGACAGCCCCGUACACAAAAAUGCACAUACUGUGAGCUCGAUGAGUAGGGCGGGACACGUGGUAUCCUGUCUGAAUAUGGGGGGACCAUCCUCCAAGGCUAAAUACUCCUGACUGACCGAUAGUGAACCAGUACCGUGAGGGAAAGGCGAAAAGAACCCCAGCGAGGGGAGUGAAAAAGAACCUGAAACCGUGUACGUACAAGCAGUGGGAGCACGCUUCGGCGUGUGACUGCGUACCUUUUGUAUAAUGGGUCAGCGACUUAUAUUCUGUAGCAAGGUUAACCGAAUAGGGGAGCCGAAGGGAAACCGAGUCUUAACUGGGCGUUAAGUUGCAGGGUAUAGACCCGAAACCCGGUGAUCUAGCCAUGGGCAGGUUGAAGGUUGGGUAACACUAACUGGAGGACCGAACCGACUAAUGUUGAAAAAUUAGCGGAUGACUUGUGGCUGGGGGUGAAAGGCCAAUCAAACCGGGAGAUAGCUGGUUCUCCCCGAAAGCUAUUUAGGUAGCGCCUCGUGAAUUCAUCUCCGGGGGUAGAGCACUGUUUCGGCAAGGGGGUCAUCCCGACUUACCAACCCGAUGCAAACUGCGAAUACCGGAGAAUGUUAUCACGGGAGACACACGGCGGGUGCUAACGUCCGUCGUGAAGAGGGAAACAACCCAGACCGCCAGCUAAGGUCCCAAAGUCAUGGUUAAGUGGGAAACGAUGUGGGAAGGCCCAGACAGCCAGGAUGUUGGCUUAGAAGCAGCCAUCAUUUAAAGAAAGCGUAAUAGCUCACUGGUCGAGUCGGCCUGCGCGGAAGAUGUAACGGGGCUAAACCAUGCACCGAAGCUGCGGCAGCGACACUAUGUGUUGUUGGGUAGGGGAGCGUUCUGUAAGCCUGUGAAGGUGUGCUGUGAGGCAUGCUGGAGGUAUCAGAAGUGCGAAUGCUGACAUAAGUAACGAUAAAGCGGGUGAAAAGCCCGCUCGCCGGAAGACCAAGGGUUCCUGUCCAACGUUAAUCGGGGCAGGGUGAGUCGACCCCUAAGGCGAGGCCGAAAGGCGUAGUCGAUGGGAAACAGGUUAAUAUUCCUGUACUUGGUGUUACUGCGAAGGGGGGACGGAGAAGGCUAUGUUGGCCGGGCGACGGUUGUCCCGGUUUAAGCGUGUAGGCUGGUUUUCCAGGCAAAUCCGGAAAACUAAGGCUGAGGCGUGAUGACGAGGCACUACGGUGCUGAAGCAACAAAUGCCCUGCUUCCAGGAAAAGCCUCUAAGCAUCAGGUAACAU
rnacentral:rRNA from 1 species